rnacentral:rRNA from 1 species
GACGAACGCUGGCGGCGUGCUUAACACAUGCAAGUCGAACGGGGUGUUUAUUUCGGUAAACACCAAGUGGCGAACGGGUGAGUAACGCGUAAGCAAUCUACCUUCAAGAUGGGGACAACACUUCGAAAGGGGUGCUAAUACCGAAUGAAUGUAAGAGUAUCGCAUGAGACACUUACUAAAGGAGGCCUCUGAAAAUGCUUCCGCUUGAAGAUGAGCUUGCGUCUGAUUAGCUAGUUGGUGAGGGUAAAGGCCCGACCAAGGCGACGAUCAGUAGCCGGCCUGAGAGGGUGAACGGCCACAUUGGGACUGAGACACGGCCCAAAACUCCUACGGGAGGCAGCAGUGGGGAAUAUUGCACAAUGGGGGAAACCCUGAUGCAGCGACGCCGCGUGAGUGAAGAAGUAUUCGGUAUGGUAAAAACUCUAUCAGCAGGGAAGAUAAUGACGGUACCUGACUAAGAAGCACGGCUAAAUACGUGCCAGCAGCC